GUCGCUCACGCUGGGAGCUGUAGACCGGAGCUGUUCCUAUUCGGCCAUCUUGGCUCCUCCCUCAGUUCUGGAGACUGGGACAUCCAAGGUCAAUGUGCUGGCAGAUUCAAUGUCUGGAUUGGCAAACACAAAUCAUGUUCCAAGUUCUGCCUUCCACCUGAGUGAAAUACAUCACCGCUUUCCCUGCUCCCGCCGCCAUUAAAAUUGUGUUUGGCAUCUGACCACCAAGAUACAGAUAUUUCCUAGACUGUUUUGCAGCUAGGUACUUAGGUAAGUACUGCCCUGAGAUUGAAUUUAAACCAACGUAUGUAAGCAUAAAUAUUGUGUCCAAAUUGUGUACAACUUCUUGGUCAUCCCUUUAAAACUAAACCUGUUUUCCCAGCACUGCCUCUUUUUCCAUUCUGCAGAUAGUAAUGAAGAUAGGGGCCACCAUUCCCUGUGAAAAUCAAGUGGGAAAGUCCUGAGUCCUUUAAUGACUUUACAGAGGACAGAAUAAACUCCUAUCAUAUUCAUGCAAUUGUGCCUAUGGGUCUCCUGUCUUGUUGUUAGAAUGGAUUUAUUUGAACACUAACGAAUAUUGAUAAGUAUAAAAGAAAAAUAAAA
ensembl:lncRNA novel transcript